CUUAGCUUGGUGGCAUGUCAUUCUACGACAGGUAGAAUGAGUUAAUGUUAGCAUAGCCGCGGCUAUUUUUUGAGCGCAAAAUAGUUUUUUGACUUCCCACAUGCAAUUUUACAAACGGUAACAUUAACAUUUUGAUUUUAACAAUAACUCAUUUGUUGGAGAGACUAGUGAUGUACUAGUAGUGGUAAUAAUACUAGUUGACAUGACAUAACUGUUUAGGGAUGUUCUCUCAACUAGAUUGAUUAGUUAGCAUAGUUCGCUAAAUAUCUAACUGCCAGGGCUCGCAAAUAUCUAGCCACUCCUUCAUCCACAAUGCCGUGUGAAAGACGUUGUUGUCACUUGUCAGUCACAGGACACAUGGUGCUAAAGAAGCCGUCAGCUUUACUAUCAGGGAAUGUGAACAAGGUAGUUUGCCACACCAGCUGGCGAAAGGAAGACUAUAUUGUGUCAUGGUGUGGUCAAUGGUUGUUUGACAAUAAAGAGACAUUUUCAACCAUCCACUGGCUAAGAAGCCCAAAUCAUUUCUGUUUGAUUUGAAAAGAUAAGAAACAUUUGUAUUCAACCAAACAAUAGCUAAAAAGCCCGAAUUCUUUUUGGGAUGAUGAUAUAUUAAUGUUCCAUAUGGAAAAGCAAAGAGAACUGCUAAAGACUUGGCGCUCUGAGAUUCUUCUGAACAAACUUCUGAAGAGUGCGUUACAAAUAAAAUGAAUUAUUAUUAAAGAACUGCUGAGUUGCAGCACCAUUGUUUUAGUUUUUCAUUAAUGAAAAAAGAAAACAUGUUAAAUGUAUAUAUCCGUCUUUUGUCAUGAUUAAUAUACAGAGAAAAUCGGUAAUAUGUGAUAAAUCAUGAUUAAUCCACAGAUUAAUCCACACUUUUUUUUUUUUUCAUUUCACAGCCCUAAUGUAUAUAUGAAUUGUUUUAAGUAUGUUGACCUGUGAUGUAUAUUUGUUAUGGAAACACGGGAUUAGUAGUAUUUGUACUAUUUAAUUACAAUGUUUUUUAAUCCUUUAUGGUAUUUUUCAUUUAAUUCUAUUAAACAGGUCAGUUGCAGCAGUCUUUAUAUCACGGACGACUCCAACACGGCAAUAUUUCCAGAGCCAGCAGGCCAUUUUUCAAUAAUUAAUCUGACUAAUCGCAGUCAUUAUGAGGUCCACGGCGAUGCAGAGCACCUUCCACCCGCUGCUGGUGCCCCUGCUUUUGGGUUCAUGCGCCGACCCUCACCGGCUUCUGCUUCUGCCACAUCUUUUUCUGCGUCUGGUUUUUCCACUGAAACACCACCACCACCACCACGAGCUGGAACUCCACGAGCUAGUGGAGCUAGCUUGUUCCAGGGAAGAUCAUUCCAAAGGUUACUUGUUAAAUAUGUAACUUGUUAAAUAUGUAACUGAUCUCUGCUGCUAAAAUCUCGUCCUAUAAUAUAUAAAUAUCAUUUUAGGCCCAUAGGUGUGAUUUUAAGACGGUCUGAUUUAUCCCCAGGUCAAUCCAUCUGGCAGAAAUUGUUAAUGAGAAACUCAGUCCUUCCAGGACAGUAGUUGUGCGCUUUUUGGAAGCUGAGGCCUGCGUUGAACGAAUUUCGGCCAAAGUUCAAGAUGCCGUGGGCUCUGAUGAGCCUAUUACCUUGACGGACACCCAAGGAAACGAAAUAAUGGACUCUGAGGGCACAAGAAGUAAGUUGUAUGAUCAGAAACUUGCUUCUAAUUUGUGGUUUCUAAUAAACCUUAAUGUUGAUUUUAAAGGAGUCAUUGAUUGCAAAAAACAAAUUUACCUUGUCACAGUUGAUUAACGACAGUUCAGUGGGUAAAAUGUACAUACAAUGAACCCUUAAAGUCCAUUGACACUUCUUUCAUAUGCAAAUCUCACAAUUAGAAACCGGUAGGUAUGUAAAGCAGGAUUUGCUAAGAAGAUGUAGCUGAAAAGGUGCUGUUCUGACCCUUUGUUCAUUACAACCGCAAGCUGUAGUAUUAUGUUGUUGCUAACGUAUCCUCCCUGUUUCUAUUAUCGGUAGAUGUGAUGGUUUAGUUUAUUGGCAAUGUGGCUAACGUUAUUUCAUGUCCCUGACUGUUUCAUUCAAAUAAAUAACACGUGUUUGUUUACAGCCCAACCAAUGUUACAUACCCUAUUCGGAGACCGUAAGGAACCGUGUGAAAUACCCCCAAAAAGUCAAUGACCCCUUUUAAAAACAAGUGAAGUUAAUGUUUUCUGACUUCUUAGGUUCCCAGUUCUGGAAACAGAACUCAAGAAAAAUAUAUGCUGUGCCUGAAAGUGACUUUGUGGAGUUUCAGAAUGGGAGAAGAGCUAAAACAAGUCGAAGGGAUGGAGAUUCAAGCCUGCAGGAGGUCCUUGGACGUGUUGACCAGCUGAAGCAAGCCGCCGGGAGUCUCCAAGAGGUCACUAAUUCAAUCAACCAGCUGUCUCAGCUGGCCAAGUCUCAAAAGGAGGAGAUAAUGGCAAAUGUCGGUUUGCAGCCCUUAAAGGAAGCCUUUGCAUGUCUUGUGUGUAAAGCUGUAAUGGCAGAUCCCAUGUUCGCCACAUGCUGUGAAUCGAUAAUUGGAUGUCGUACCUGUGUGGAGCUGUGGUUAGUCACAUCAGACCACUGCUUGAAAUGCAGGGCAGGAGACUUUGAAAAUAAAAUACAUGAAGUGAAGGGUCUCUCUGCUGCCUUGUCACUUUUCAAGGAGAGAGAAAUUGAUUUGAUUUGAUAGAUAAUUGUUUGUUAUUGUUUGUUAUGUUUACAUUACUGGAACUACCUCAGUUUGUUUGUUGGAUGUUAUUAUGGGUACAUGACCAGAAAGAUGUUGUUUGUUGUAAUGUUUAUAUUGUGUGUGACCGUUUUAAAAAAAAAAGAAAAGAAAAAAGACAACUUCCACUUUAUCAUUGUUGUAAUAAAAUGUUAUUUUUGGUAUACUGCUUCUUCAUUGACCAUUGCAGGUCACUGUGUAACAGGUCGCACAUGUCUUGAGGUGAUAUCAAUCAGAGACCUCACUGCAUUUUUAAAAGGGCCAUAGUUAUGGUUAACCACAUUUUGGAAGAGGGAUAGCAAAUCAAAGAGAGAACCAAACUCAGUUUCAGUCCAUUGUUGGGCUUCUUCAGAGGGGAAAGGAUCACUUCCAAAAAUGGAUUCUCUUUUCAAGGCUGAUCCCAUUUCCUGCUGAUACAGGUCAGCUGCAACUGCACCGACUGGCAGAAGGUCCUCAGAAAGUUUUGCAGGACACCCUUCUUUAGCCAGUUCGUUUGGUAUUCCCCUUCCUGCAAGACAGUAAAGUGAGUAGUGAGAUUAAAGGGGUUACACUUGUGGGGAGGUAAUCAUUUUGCCAAUGAUGUUUUGACUUGUUAUUUUAGUUGUCUUUCACAGCAUAUUGGAGUUGACAAUAAUGACAGCUUCAUUCAGAUGGGGGUCAUUCCUACAAAAUUCACCCAAUGUAAAUGCCCUCAAAUUAAAGAUGAAUGUCUGUGCUUUGAGCAUGUAUUCAUUUACAUUCAACUCCAAACCUGUAGAAGUCAUCUAAAAAAGCAAGAACAUGGUCAACGUCCAAAAAACUUGAUUCUAACUAAUAACAUGUUUUACUAAUUGAAUCUGCCCCUCUACAGAAAGUACUGGAUUUGCAGUGUUGCAAUUUGAGCUACACAUUUGUGAAUCCAUUUCAGAUUGAACUCUACAAUAGAACAUCAAAAUUAAUUUACACUGCUUUAUUAGCAAGUUAUGCCUGUAAUACCGCCAGUAAAAUGAAAUUAAUCAUACCUGGGAUCCUGUGUGCAUUCCAUGCCUGUACGACAUUUGUGAUGCCAAUCCUAGCCAGCUGGCAUGUCAGGUUUGACACACAAUACCUGGAUGUGUUGUCCUCCAUGUCCAGUUCCUCCUGGUCCACCAGCUGUACCAGAGCUGUCUUCAAAGGGUAGUUGACUCGAGCAUUCACCUCCGACCACAUUCUCUCUAUCACAUGGUUCUGUGCAGGUUAUAAGGAUAGUGUCAGUCUGCCUGCCCUCAUUAGAAAUACGCCUCAAUGGCAAGAAACCAGGAUUAAUUUUUAACAACACAUUUAUUUUACCCUUGUAGAAGGUGUCUGAAGGUAGGGCUGCCUUUGAGUAUUGUGUCGAUGUUCUGCCAGUUUUUCCUGGAUGAAUAAAGCCAGAUAGAAUUCUUUCCCACAGUCAACUCUGACCUGGUCCCAUAUUCCAUAGGAAAGAACAGCAGGCCUGAAGAUAAAUCACCGACAAACGUAAAAUAUACAUAAACAGCAUCAGUCUCUUAGCCAUGGCCAGCUAAAGUGACAAUUACAUUUUUUUGUCAAAAUUGGAAUGAUAUCAAUAAUAGUAAAACUGGAAAAUUAACUAAGAAACUGGAAGAGGGAAAAAGUUUUUUGUUUUUUCCAAAUUAAUUAUUUCCAUAUUACAAAUCUAGGUUUUAACCUUUUUUAAUGUACUUGUUCAAGUCUGGGUCCUCCUAAGGAGACAACUUUGGGUUCCACCUUACAAAGUCUGUGAAGUUAAUUUACCGGUACACUUCCUCAUAAAUCACGAUGUUGUUCUUUAUUGGCAUGGUGGAGUGACCGACCACCUUCUUGCUGAAACCAUCGAUAGCCAUAACAUGAGUCACUCCAAACAUAACAAGCUUCUCAUUCUGAUCUACAUGCAGCUUGUGACCCAUGUAUUCUGCAUUGUAGGGUAUGGGGUUCAGAUUCCGGGCACCCUAAAAUAUAAGAAUUCCAUUAUAAUAAAAACUCAAUAAUCUUUCAUUCGUAUGAUUAGAAUCUCAACACGUAUGUUCUAUUGAAAUGUAGAAAACACAAUGCUAUUUGACCUUACCUGCUGUCUUGCAAUGUGGUAGGGUUGAUGAAUACUUCUCAACACAUUGCCCACUCUGCCUUCAGAAGCUUUAACCCCUUUUGCGGAUAGAUAUCCAGUCAUCAUUUUUCGACCAAAAGACGAUCCA